AAUAAGUAAAUAAUUCUUUUCUUAAAACAGAUUCUGAACUCGUCUCUCUCCUGGUUGCGAUCUUUCAUGAAAACAGGGGAUUGGGUUGACCCGGUUUAGUAACCUGAUGGAGUUGCAAUCAAGCUAAGGCUAUAAUUAAAUAGGUUUUGGUCCUGAUUAGAUAAUUAUUUUUGUAUGGGAAAAAGGUUUGAUUAACUUUUUUUUAUUAAGUCCCGGUCUUGUUUUUGGUCUUGUCGAGUCCGGUCUGAAGCAGUUUAGCAAU
rnacentral:lncRNA from 1 species